CACCAGCCUCCGGGUACCAAUCGCUUGUGACCAAUCAGAGGUCUCCUGGCGUCACUUGCCCGCCCCUUAGCCCUGUCCGGCCACUUCAUUUGCUGCUCACAAAGCAAUCCCGCCGCGCGUUCGGCACACCAGCCAAUCAGAGGAUACGGGGCGGGACCUCCCAGGCGCGUGGAGUGAGGCCGUACCCCGCCAGGAGAGCCUCGGGAGCCUUCGAGUUCUUUCGUUUUUCCCUCCGGGGUAAAGUUAUGUUCAGUCUUCCAUCAACACAUGUAUUUUUCCGCCUGACUCGGCGCGCGUGCGCAGUGCCACCCAGCCCGGGCUGUUCCUGAAAUGUAAGCGUGUUGAACCCGGGGGAAGCCGAACAGCCGUCCUGCAGGAGGAGGACCGUGGCCAGGGCGCUUUGGCCCAGCGGGGAAGGACGCGGACUGGCACAUGGUGGCACAGCCGUUCAAACCCCGGACGCGCCUGGGAUGCAAACCCGGGAUGCCGGAGAGUGCGCCCCACCUGGUUGCGGCAGCCAGCGCUCCACGCAGGCCAGGUUAUCUGCACCGUUGAUCGGCGGCGCUUCCAGUUCUGCUCCCCCGCGUGUGUCUGCACUCCGCGCGCGCCUCUGAAGCCCCGACUGCCGAAACUUCUAGCAUUUGGAUCCUUAGAAAGAUACAGACAGACAGACAGACAGACAGACCUCCGGCGCGCGCCUCUGAAGCCCCGACUGCCGAAACUUCUAGCAUUUGGAUCCUUAGAAAGAUCCAGACAGACAGACAGGCAGGCAGACCUUAGAAAGAUACACACACACACACACACACACACACACACACACACACACACACACACACACACACACCAAGACACUUCCCUGGGCUCUCUCGUGCUUUGUUGACUCUAAAUGUGUUUCUGCAGGUCAGUCUAGGAACAGUUUACGUGUCGUUUUGACUCAGCAAUUUCACCGUGGGGGGGGGGGGCAUUAUCCUACUGAUCAUCCGGCUUGUUUAAGGAAGUUCUCGACUCUGUAUUGUUUAUUAUAAUACAGUGAGAAUUGCCAAAAUAAA